rnacentral:rRNA from 1 species
GAAGGUGGCGAGCGUUGUUCGGAAUCACUGGGCUUAAAGCGCGCGUAGGCGGAAUAGAUAGUGUCUUGUGAAAUCCCCCGGCUUAACCGGGGAACUGCUUGGCAUACUACUAUUCUUGAGGUAAGUAGGGGUACAUGGAACUCUUGGUGGAGCGGUGGAAUGCGUAGAUAUCAAGAGGAACGCCAAUGGUGAAGACAGUGUACUGGGCUUAUUCUGACGCUGAGGUGCGAAAGCGUGGGGGAGCGAAAGGGAUUAGAUACCCCUGUAGUCCACGCCGUAAACGAUGUCUACUAGGUUGUGGGAGUUCUGACACUCUCACAGUCGAAGCAAAAGUGUUAAGUAGACCGCCUGGAAGUACGGUCGCAAGGCUA